GAUGAAGAACGCAGCGAAAUGCGAUAAGUAGUGUGAAUUGCAGAAUUCAGUGAAUCAUCGAAGCUUUGAACGCACAUUGCGCCCCUUGGUAUUCCAUGGGGCAUGCCUGUUCGAGCGUCAUUUGUACCUUCAAGCUUUGCUUGGUGUUGGGUGUUUGUCUCGCCUUUGCGUGUAGACUCGCCUUAAAAUAAUUGGCAGCCGGCGUAUUGAUUUCGGAGCGCAGUACAUCUCGCGCUUUGCACUCAUAACGACAGCGUCCAAAAGUACGUUUUACACUCUUGACCUCGGAUCAGGUAGGGAUACCCGCUGAACUUAAGCAUAUCAAUAAGCGGAGGA
rnacentral:misc_RNA from 1 species